CAGAGGGUGCAAGCGUUAUUCGGAAUCACUGGGCGUAAAGAGCUCGUAGGCGGUUAAUUAAGUCAUAUGUGAAAGCCCUGGGCUCAAUCCAGGAAGUGCAUCUGAUACUGAUUGACUGGAGUGCAGGAGAGGAAAGCGGAAUUCCAGGUGUAGAGGUGAAAUUCGUAGAUAUCUGGAGGAACAACAGAAGCGAAGGCGGCUUUCUGGACUGUCACUGACGCUGAGGAGCGAAAGCGUGGGGAGCAAACAGGAUUAGAUACCCUGGUAGUCCACGCUGUAAACGAUGGAUACUAGAUGUCGGGGGCCUUACCCCUCGGUGUCGACGCUAACGCAUUAAGUAUCCCGCUGGGGAGUACGGCCGCAAGGUUA
rnacentral:rRNA from 1 species